rnacentral:rRNA from 1 species
AGUUGAUUCCUGGUUCAGGAUGAACGCUAGCGGGCAGGCUUAACCACAUGCAAGUCGAGGGGCAGCAUGUCCAGCAAUGGAUGAUGGCGACCGGCGGAAGGGGUGCGUAACGCGUGAGCAACAUGCCCUAUACAGGGAGAUACACCAGGGAAACUUGGUCUAAUAUCCCAUAGCAUUCAUUGAAGGCAUCUUUAAUGAAUUAAAGCUUCGGUGGUAUAGGAUUGGCUCGCGUGACAUUAGCCAGAUGGUGAGGUAACGGCUCACCAUAGCAAUGAUGUCUAGGGGUUUUGAGAGGAAGGCCCCCCACACUGGGACUGAGACACGGCCCAGACUCCUACGGGAGGCAGCAGUGAGGAAUAUUGGACAAUGGAUGGAAAUCUGAUCCAGCCAUGCCGCGUGCAGGAAGACGGCCUUAUGGGUUGUAAACUGCUUUUAUACGGGAGCAAUAAGGGUUACGAGUAAUCCGAUGAGAGUACUGUAUGAAUAAGGAUCGGCUAACUCCGUGCCAGCAGCCGCGGUAAUACGGAGGAUCCGAGCGUUAUCCGGAAUUAUUGGGUUUAAAGGGUGCGUAGGCGGCCAUUUAAGUCAGCGGUGAAAUUUUGCAGCUUAACUGUAACAGUGCCGUUGAUACUGUUUGGCUAGGAUUUGGUUGUAGUGUGCGGAAUGUGUGGUGUAGCGGUGAAAUGCUUAGAUAUCACACAGAACACCGAUUGCGAAGGCAGCACACUAAGUCAUUAUUGACGCUGAGGCACGAAAGUGUGGGGAUCAAACAGGAUUAGAUACCCUGGUAGUCCACACUGUAAACGAUGAUAACUCGCUGUCGGCGAUACACAGUCGGUGCCAAGCGAAAGC